AGGACGAACGCUGGCGGCGUGCUUAACACAUGCAAGUCGAGCGGAAAGGCCCUUCGGGGUACUCGAGCGGCGAACGGGUGAGUAACACGUGAGUAACCUGCCCUAGCUCUGGGAUAGCUCCGGGAAACCGGGAUUAAUACCAGAUACGACCACUUAGACAUCUGUCGUGGUGGAAAGGAUUCCGGCUAGGGAUGGGCUCGCGGCCUAUCAGCUUGUUGGUGGGUAACGCCUACCGAGGCGACGACGGGUA
rnacentral:rRNA from 1 species